rnacentral:rRNA from 1 species
GCGUCGUCUUCAGAGUUUGAUCCUGGCUCAGGACGAACGCUGGCGGCGCGCCUAACACAUGCAAGUCGAACGGAGUUAUUGAGAGCUUGCUUUUGAUAACUUAGUGGCGGACGGGUGAGUAACACGUGAGCAACCUGCCUUUUAGUGGGGAAUAACGGCUGGAAACGGUCGCUAAUACCGCAUAAUGUAUUGAUAUGGCAUCAUAUUGAUACCAAGGAUUUAUCGCUAAAAGAUGGGCUCGCGUCCGAUCAGCUAGUUGGUGAGGUAACGGCCCACCAAGGCAAUGAUGGGUAGCCGGCCUGAGAGGGUGAACGGCCACAAGGGGACUGAGACACGGCCCUU